rnacentral:rRNA from 1 species
UUGGGCGUAAGGGCUCGCAGGCGGUUUCUUAAGUCUGAUGUGAAAGCCCCCGGCUCAACCGGGGAGGGUCAUUGGAAACUGGGGAACUUGAGUGCAGAAGAGGAGAGUGGAAUUCCACGUGUAGCGGUGAAAUGCGUAGAGAUGUGGAGGAACACCAGUGGCGAAGGCGACUCUCUGGUCUGUAACUGACGCUGAGGAGCGAAAGCGUGGGGAGCGAACAGGAUUAGAUACCCUGGUAGUCCACGCCGUAAACGAUGAGUGCUAAGUGUUAGGGGGUUUCCGCCCCUUAGUGCUGCAGCUAACGCAUUAAGCACUCCGCCUGGGGAGUACGGUCGCAAGACUGAAACUCAAAGGAAUUGACGGGGGCCCGCACAAGCGGUGGAGCAUGUGGUUUAAUUCGAAGCAACGCGAAGAACCUUACCAGGUCUUGACAUCCUCUGACAAUCCUAGAGAUAGGACGUCCCCUUCGGGGGCAGAGUGACAGGUGGUGCAUGGUUGUCGUCAGCUCGUGUCGUGAGAUGUUGGGUUAAGUCCCGCAACGAGCGCAACCCUUGAUCUUAGUUGCCAGCAUUCAGUUGGGCACUCUAAGGUGACUGCCGGUGACAAACCGGAGGAAGGUGGGGAUGACGUCAAAUCAUCAUGCCCCUUAUGACCUGGGCUACACACGUGCUACAAUGGACAGAACAGAGGGCAGCGAAACCGCGAGGUUAGCCAAUCCCACAAAUCUGUUCUCAGUUCGGAUCGCAGUCUGCAACUCGACUGCGUGAAGCUGGAAUCGCUAGUAAUCGCGGAUCAGCAUGCCGCGGUGAAUACGUUCCCG